rnacentral:rRNA from 1 species
UUGGAGGGCAAGUCUKKUGCCAGCAGCCGCGKUAAUUCCAGCUCCAAUAGCGUAUAUUAAAGUUGUUGCAGUUAAAAAGSUSGUAGKUGRWRKRSUAGAUCAGUACGCUGGUCGUGCCUUCGGUAUGCACUGGWGUCACUGGUUUCUCCCUUCUGAAGAACCGUCAUGUCAUUAAGUUGGUGUGGCGGGGAAUCAGGACUGUUACUUUGAAAAAAUUAGAGUGUUUAAAGCAGGCUCGCGCUUGAAUACAUUAGCAUGGAAUAAUGAAAUAGGACGUUUGACCCUAUUUUGUUGGUUUCUAGGAUCGACGUAAUGAUUAAUAGGGAUAGUUGGGGGCAUUAGUAUUCAAUUGUCAGAGGUGAAAUUCUUGGAUWUAUUGAAGACUAAYUACUGCGAAAGCAUUUGCCAAGGAUGUUUUCAUUAAUCAAGAACGAAAGUUAGGGGAUCGAAGACGAUCAGAUACCGUCGUAGUCUUAACCAUAAASUAKGCCGACUAGGGAUCGGAUGAUGUUAAUUUUUUAAUGACUCAUUSGGCGCCUUACGGGAAAC